CACCCCCUCGGAACGCGCGGCCCACCGGGCUAAGUCAUUUUUAACUGCCCGGGAAAUUAUCUUGUCUUCGCAUUCUUGCCUCUGCUGGUGAGCCAGGUUGGGACCUCCAGUAUCACAUCAAAUAAUAAAGGUGAUCACCAAAGGGAAACUCUUUCUAAAAGAAAGGACGUGCCUCUGUGUUUAAGG